AAAGACGUGUCUUGCUUCCCCUUCGCCGUCUGCCUUGAUUGUGAGGCCUCCCCAGCCACAUGGAACUACUUUGCUGCUCUAUUGCCAAGCUACUCAUAUCCCCGUUACUGUGAAACUUGGUGAAAUUCCUCAGGGAUUCUGAGAGAUCAAAGCAUGCUGACCAUGUUUUCCAUGACAAAUGGAGCAGCUCUGGAGUCUUAGAAUCAUAAAAGAUGGAGACAUUAUAUUUUUUUGUAAUUACUUCUGAGAAUUAGAAAAAGGAAAUGAAGUGAGAAUGAGCAGUAGUGGCUAUCUAUUGUGGUGGUUCAUCAUCAGAAACUUAGACUGAACUACUAUAAUUAUGUAAGUGUAUCUGUGGAUGACUGUUAAUAAACUUCCAUUCAAAUAAAAUAAA